CCGAGCCGGCAGGCCCUGGAGAAGUGAAGCAGGAAGAACCUGCCUGAGGAGGACGGACAGCCCAGGACAGGAGCCCGGAGGAGCCCUGUGCUGGGGGGAAUCGCCCGAGAAGGACAGGCCGGAGCUGGACCCAGGAUCACGGCUGCCCAGAGCUGUGUGGGGCUUAAGUGCUGGCCGUGCAGAGAGGGGAAGAAUUGAAGUGAGACGUCCACCAGCAUGUUUGGAAGGGGAGCCAUUCCCAAGUUGAUCGUGUGUGCGCACACGUAAAUGUUACUACUUCCAACUUGGGACAACUUUUUCAGGAUGAAACUACCAAUAGUCUUCCAACUACUAACAGGUUAAAGGAAAACCUGUCACUCGUGUGUUGAGCAUUUUCUGGAGGAAACUCCUGGUCCUGCAGCGCUGAAAGAGACAGUACCAGCUUGAAUCUAGA